AUUGAACGCUGGCGGCAGGCCUAACACAUGCAAGUCGAGCGGAUGAAGGGAGCUUGCUCCUGGAUUCAGCGGCGGACGGGUGAGUAAUGCCUAGGAAUCUGCCUGGUAGUGGGGGAUAACGUCCGGAAACGGGCGCUAAUACCGCAUACGUCCUGAGGGAGAAAGUGGGGGAUCUUCGGACCUCACGCUAUCAGAUGAGCCUAGGUCGGAUUAGCUAGUUGGUGGGGUAAAGGCCUACCAAGGCGACGAUCCGUAACUGGUCUGAGAGGAUGAUCAGUCAAACUGGAACUAGAAAACGGUCCAGACCCCUACGGGGGGCAGAGGGGGGGAAUAUUGGAAAAGGGGGGAAAGCCUAAUCCAGCCAUGCCGGGGGGGUGAAGAAGGUCUUCGGAUUGUAAAGCACUUUAAGUUGGGAGGAAGGGCAGUAAGUUAAAACCUGGCUGUUUUGACGUUACCAACAAAAAAAGCACCGGCUAACUUCGU
rnacentral:rRNA from 1 species